CAUUGCUGUUCUUCUUAUCUGAAUCUGACAUUUUUUGUAAGAGUUUUUGAUCAUCUGAAGGAUAGUAGAAUUGUGAGUUGCUCUGUAUCUUAAUCUCCAAGAAACAGAGUACUCAGUCUCAUGUGUUCUGCAACAAUGGAUGAAAACAGAGAACCAAAGGCAAACAAAACCAAAUUUCAGAAACAAAAAUCUAUCUUAAAAAUCAAAUCGGUAAAACUUGAAAUUAAAAACAAAAACAAAAAAGCUUAUCAAGAAAAGUAUGGCUCUUCCAGGGAUAUAGGAUUAAGUUGAGAUAUAGCAGGAUUCUCCGGGGGAAAA